GAGGUUGCGAGCCUUCGUCUGAGGAGGAACUCCGUCUUCUUGGAAGCGGGGAAGACUUUGGUUUAAACCAGAUCUCAUCGUCCUCUGCAAAAACCUCAUUGUCACCUGGCAGACCUAAUACACUGACCGAAAAAGAUUGACCCUAAUGGAUUGUACUGAGUGUAAGCUUCAAACAGAAGAUUCAAACAAAGCUGGGCCUAGCAGUUGAAGGAGCAGACAUGAGAAGUUUUAUCCGGUUGGCCGGGACACAGCAGAGAUGAUCGAUCAGCGUGACAGGCAACCAAUAAGAACAGCAUUGGACCAAUAUAAACAGAGCACUCUGCAGAAACAACACUCAACCGUGCACUGAUGAUGCCACCUCGACUGGUGAUGAGAUGUUUGCGACCUAACCUCCAGGCUCAGCGAACAACCAACAAACAAGUUUUGAACAGUGUUGCAGUAUUUAAUUUGGUACUUCUCCCUAGAUGCAGGCUAUUUCCCAUUGCCCAGAAACAAUUACAAAGAAAUAGAUGAAGAUGAACUUUAUUUGUCACAUAUAAUAUCAAAAUGUUGAAACAUACAGUGAACUAUGUUGCGCUAGGCAGUUCUGUGAUAAAUAUUUUCUACAAUUUGUGGACGUAUGCAAUUCUAAUUCAUGCAUUUCAUUUGUUAAUGGUCUUGCUUCAUUCUAUCAAGCUAUUUCCAACUAACAAAAUACUCAUUUACAUGUCAGUUAUCAGCUGGAUAGGAAACUGUAAAGGUGUGAUAUAUUAACCAUAGCUAACAAAAACUGCAAUAAAGGAUGAAGGUAAGAGUGAUGAAGUGAGAUCAAGGAGAUCCAGAAGGAUUCUAACUUUGCUUAUGAGGCUUACUAACAGUCAGCUCAUAAAUCUCAAACUCAAUAACAUUCAGGGAAGAAAAGUCUCUCAGAAACCAUCAGUCAUCCAUAUAUUUCAUUGGUUGCAAAGGCAAUCCUUUGAUCACCCAUACAUUGAUUGAGCCUGGCUCCAAUUUAUACAGUUAAAUAAACAGUAUACAAGAUAACAUCUCUGAACGACCACUUCAUAAAUGUGGAUCAAUCCCAAUAAGUUAAAAAGGAUUACUGGAGCAUCUACUCAGUUAACCUGAAUGAUUUUGCUCAUGAUGAUUUCACGCAGAAUCCUAAAUAUAUAAGAAGAAGUCACUGGAGAGAUUUAGGAAGCUUUGCCAUCUUGUGUUAGAUUAUGUCACAUUACUGUUCAUUGUGAUUUUUCCAAUCAGGCUUUGUCAGUGGAGCAGGUUUAUAUUAGAUGAGACCUACAUAGCAUGGAGUAUUUAGAUCUCGAAUAUGGAGGCAUUAUUUAAACAGCCAAAAAAUGAAAAUGCAUGUAUAUAUAAUAAGAAGAAUGCGUGCUAACAUUGAAUAUCUUGACAAAUUAACCUGUAGGUCACCACUUAAUUUAGGAAGUCCACAGUCAUUUGACUAACAUAAAACGGUCAUUUUAGUAAAUGCCUUGAGAAACAUAUUGAUGCAGCUAUAAAGAAAGCAAGACAGUGGCUAUAUUUCAUUAGGAGUUUGAGGAGAUUUGGUUUGUCACCCAAAACACUCGUAACUUUUACUGAUGAACUGUGGAGAACAUUCUGACUGGCUGCUUUUCUGUCUGGUAUUGGACGAGGGUUGGGGGGGGGGUGGGUACUACUGCACAGGUCCGAAUGAAGCUACAGAAAGUUGUAAAAUUAGUCAAUUUCAUCAUGGGUAUUAGGGCCCAUAAUAUCCAAGAUAUCUUCAAGGCGUGGUGCCUCAGAAAGGCAGCAUCCAUUAUUAAGGACCCCCAGCAUGAGAUGCAUGCCGUCUUCUCACUGUUACCAUCAGGAAAGAGGUACAGAAGCCUGAAGGCACACACUCAGCGAUUCAGGAACAGCUUCUUCCCUUCUGUGCCAUCCAAUUUCUAAAUGGACAUUGAACCCAUGGACACUACCUCACUUUCUUUUUGUUUUAUUAUUUUUGAUUUUGCACCAUUUUAAAUUCUACUAUAUAUAUAUGUGUGUGUGUGUGUAAUUACUGUAAUUCAUUGUACUGCUGCUGCUAAGUUAACAAAUUCAAUGACAUAUGCUGAUGAUAUAAACCUGAUUCUGAUUCUAAACGUCUACCAAAAGAGACUUUUGUAUUAAACAUGAUUGUACUUUCAGAAAUAUAAAUACAAAUAAAAGUUUUUCAGAUGCUAACCACUUAUUUUAAACAAAUACCAUACUUAUAUAGCUGGUUGUGUUCAUUGGUUUAAUUAAUGUACUUUUUAAAAUUAUUUGCUGUAUUUGGAAUGGUCUAUGGGUUGCUGUAUAAGCUACUUGCAGUGAUCAAAGGCUGUGCCAAAUUACUAAAGUUGAUAUGGAUGUGUUCAUCUCUGUUCAGAUAUAUUAGCAAUUGCUGUGGAAAGUUCAGUGGGAUUCAAUUGUACUCUGACAAUAAAUGGCAAUGUGCCAAUAGAGGAGCUAAAUGGAAAAUUGUUUGUGAACUUCUUCAUAAUUUGCUUUAAUCUUGUGCCUCAUUUUUCACUACAUUCUCAGUGACAGUGAGUGAGUAAGAGGUGGGCGGGUAGACAGCGGCAAAGGGAGAGCAAAGAGUUCAUCAGUUUUUAGAAUUCUGUCUGUGUAUUAUAAAUAGCAGCAGUAAUGGGCGUGAGAGCAGCCAAAGAUCACUGUCCACAAUAUUUUCAGUCUUUCUGUGUGGGAAAGGCCAAUUCUCUGCACACAACUUCAUAUUGUGGCUAAAGUCAUAAACUUAAUGUCUCAGUAAUUCAGUUCUGAUGGAUAUGUGAGGCAUGCCACACAUGGGCCACAGCUUUGCUCCACUACCAUGAAAGUGCUUCCUAUGUAAAAUUUGUGUUGAUCAUAUAAACUGUAGUUUUGGAGUUAAGGAGGCGACACAAUUAUAUUAGUCUGACAUAGGCAGUCCCUUGGAGUUGACUAACUUCUGCUCUGGUUUUGUAGGUUCUGGGAUGGGAAUGAGAAUAAUGUGGGAACUGUAGAUACUUGCAAAGAUGAGAUGGGUGGUGACCAAUGGUGCAGGAUAUCAUCAAAACCAUCCCAAAUGCUCCUUCUCCACUUUGGGUGAACACGUACUAGAGGAGUUAGAGGGGUUUGUGUAUAUAUUCAAGGAUGUUCUGAUUUCUUUUCCCCCUGGUAAGCUCUUCCUAUCAUAUGAUCCAGAACAAUGUUCGUUCUGGGAGGCUGGUGUUAAGGUUACAAGUGGUGUGGCUUUCGUUCACUGCAUCAAUAUGGGGAACGUGGGGCCAAUGGUGUUGCUUGGGUUUUGGACUAUAUAUAUAUGCCCUUUUUUCAAGUGAAUAUGCUUCUGUGUUUGCUAUUUUGUAUAUGUUACCUGUGAUUUUUGAAUGUCUGCUUGCUAUUUUGAAUAUUUUGCACUUUGGUCCCAGAGAAACAUUGUAUUGUUCAGCAUAUCUAUGUAAGGUUUGAAUGAUAA